rnacentral:rRNA from 1 species
GAUGAACGCUGGCGGCGUGCCUAGUACAUGCAAGUCGAGCGAACGGACGAGAAGCUUGCUUCUCUGAUGUUAGCGGCGGACGGGUGAGUAACACGUGGAUAACCUACCUAUAAGACUGGGAUAACUUCGGGAAACCGUAGCUAAUACCGGAUAAUAUUUUGAACCGCAUGGUUCAAAAGUGAAAGACGGUCUUGCUGUCACUUAUAGAUGGAUCCGCGCUGCAUUAGCUAGUUGGUAAGGUAACGGCUUACCAAGGCAACGAUGCAUAGCCGACCUGAGAGGGUAAUCGGCCACACUGGAACUGAGACACGGUCCAGACUCCUACGGGAGGCAGCAGUAGGGAAUCUUCCGCAAUGGGCGAAAGCCUGACGGAGCAACGCCGCGUGAGUGAUGAAGGUCUUCGGAUCGUAAAACUCUGUUAUUAGGGAAGAACAUAUGUGUAAGUAACUGUGCACAUCUUGACGGUACCUAAUCAGAAAGCCACGGCUAACUACGUG